CCUGAUGCAGCAACGCCGCGUGCGGGAUGACGGCCUUCGGGUUGUAAACCGCUUUCGCCUGUGACGAAGCGUGAGUGACGGUAAUGGGUAAAGAAGCACCGGCUAACUACGUGCCAGCAGCCGCGGUGAUACGUAGGGUGCGAGCGUUGUCCGGAUUUAUUGGGCGUAAAGGGCUCGUAGGUGGUUGAUCGCGUCGGAAGUGUAAUCUUGGGGCUUAACCCUGAGCGUGCUUUCGAUACGGGUUGACUUGAGGAAGGUAGGGGAGAAUGGAAUUCCUGGUGGAGCGGUGGAAUGCGCAGAUAUCAGGAGGAACACCAGUGGCGAAGGCGGUUCUCUGGGCCUUUCCUGACGCUGAGGAGCGAAAGCGUGGGGAGCGAACAGGCUUAGAUACCCUGGUAGUCCACGCUGUAAACGGUGGGUACUAGGUGUGGGGUCCAUUCCACGGGUUCCGUGCCGUAGCUAACGCUUUAAGUACCCCGCCUGGGGAGUACGGCCGCAAGGCUAAAACUCAAAGGAAUUGACGGGGCCCCGCACAAGCGGCGGAGCAUGCGGAUUAAUUCGAUGCAACGCGUAGAACCUUACUGGGUUUGACAUGGAUCGGGAGCGCUCAGAGAUGGGUGUGCUCUUUGGGGUCGUCACAGUGGUGAUGGUGUGUCAGCUCGGUUG
rnacentral:rRNA from 1 species